rnacentral:lncRNA from 1 species
CAGAUUGACCUCACGAAGUGCUACUCAAUCACUGAAGAAACACAUUGAAGAACCUGGUCCUCAGUAAAGAAUCCAGCUAAGAGUUUUAGGGGUGAUUUUUAGAGUUGUUCAUUGUGUUUGAGCUAUUUAUGUAAUAUUAGUUUCAGUGUGUUAUAAACUGAAUUAGGAGCUAGUCUUCGAGUUGGGGAAAACUCAGAGACUUUGGAAACACUUACCUUUGGAGGGGUGCGUGUAGUUAGGAAUUAGAUUUUAUAAUUCCUAGUUAUUGGGAGGUGUGUGUAGUUAGGAAUUAGAGUUUAUAAUUCCUAGUUAUUGAGUUAUAGGGAUUAGAGUUUAUAAUUUCUAGUUGUUGAGUUAUAGGAAUUAGAGUUUAUAAUUCCUAUUUGUUGGUUACAAGAGUUUUGUAAUCACCCGUUGUUGAGGCUCAGAUUUUUUUUUAGUAAAGUUGGGGGUAAAUUCUGUAGAGGUGUAAGUCGUGGUUUUUUUACACUUUUUGAGC